rnacentral:rRNA from 1 species
AAUUAUAAUUUCACCUUGAAAAUGCCUCGUCUGUUCUCUGAAGCUAAGCAUGGUCAGGCCUGGUUAGCACUUGGAUGGGAGACCAGUGGGAAUAUCAGGUGCGUGAGUU